UCCAGGGUAGCCUAGUGGACAUGGCAUCUGCCCGGUAAGCGGAACAAUGUGGGUUCGAUUCCUAUUCCUGGAC
rnacentral:tRNA from 1 species